GGUUUUCAAGAUUUAGCAAAAUUCAACAUUACUUUGUUGGCAAAGCAAGGUUGGCAUUUAAUUAACAACCCAGGUUCUUUGUUAGCACAUGCCCUUAAGACUAAGUAUUACCCAUGUUGUGAUUUUAUGCAUGCUAGUUUAGGAACUUACCCUUUUUACCUAUGAAGGAGUAUCUGGUCUGCGAAGGGGUUGCUACAUAUAGGACUUUGUUGGCGUGUUGGUACGGGAUCCAAUAUACAGGUCUAGGAUGAUGCUUGGAUUCCAAGAUUGCCUAAUAGACGUUUGCAACACAUAGGUGUUAGUUUUCCAACCUUGUUUCAGAAUUCAUUAACCCUCAUUCAAGGCAGUGGGAAGAAAAUAAGCUUACCAGUGUUUUGGGCUGAGACAUUGCUGAUCGUGUGUUGUGUAUCCCCCUUUCUCGGAUUGCCCAUGAUGACUUCCUAGUUUGGGGUGCUGAGCCUUUAGGCGAAUUCACUGUUCAUACUGGUUAUAGACUCUUUACUUCUUCAGGUUAUACUGGAAUUCCAGACUCUUACAGAAUAUUUUAUACUACUUUAUGGAAGUUGGACCUUCCAGCAAAAGUAAAAAUUACAGUUUGGAGAGUUUUUAACAAUUACAUUCUUAGCUACUAUAAUCUCUAUAACAAAAUAUUACGAGCCUCCGCUUUGUGCCCCCGAUGCCUGAUCUCUAUUGAGACGUUGGAACAUAUCUUUCGCAAUUGCCUAUCGACUUCUGAUAUUUGGCGUCCCUACACAUCCUGUGGGCAAAUGAAGUAUCAAAUGCCUCCUUACAAUAUCGGCUACUAUUUCUUUUCACAAUGUCUACUAGUGAUAUGCGUUGUGGUUCAUUUGGCAUGAGCGAAAUAGAAGGUUUCAUAAUAAUGUUGUUAUCCAAACGCAUGUCAUUGUAUGCCGAGUUCAGGCUUAGCUAUUGGAAUUAGAUGCAGUAAAUGAGAGGUUACCUGGUCGUCUAAUCGAUGUCGAGCAGUGGGGGCCUCAAGAUGCACCCUAUGUUAAGGUAAACUUUGACACUGCUUUUCGUGCAUCUGAAAACAUUUCCUAUACGGGUAUUUUCAUUCGAGAUCACUUAGGUCUAGUGUUAGGUUACCAAUCAGUACUCAGUAAGCAUGUACCUUCACCGUUCACUGCAGAGGGCUUGCUACCAUGUAGUUCUACUGGUUCUGAGGCUAGGGUUCCAGUCGGUCAUUUUUUAAGGCAAUUCUUUGAAGGUGAUCCAAAAACUCCUCUCUCCUCAGCCUGAUGCAUUGAUUUUAGGUCCUUACAUCAGCGACAUUAACACCAUGGUUGUGCAGCUUCGCGGGUGUCACAUUGUGCAUAUUCCUCGCAUCACAAAUCAGGUGGCACAUCUGUUGGCAUCUGCGCAUCUCAUGGAUAGAGGUUCUGUUUACCGGUCAUUGGCAGAGCCUCUCUUUAUUUUGGCGGCGGUGUACCAUAAUAGGGGUGCUUUCUAAUCGGAUAUGCGCGGAAGCUGAUGAGUCAUUGCAGAGAUCUGUUUUGAGGAGGUUUGGGAGGUGAGGGAGCUCCAUAGGUUCGUGGGUUUUACGGGAUUGGGUUGGAUUUUGGUCUUCUUUGUUGGAGCACAGAUUCUCGUUCAUUGUUUGUUCACUUCUUGGAUGUCAUAGCUGGUUUUCUGGACUUCUGUGGUCAUCGGAAUUAUUCUUCUCGUUUCAUCAGUGACGGCAUCCCUUCAGAAUAUGCUUUUCUUUUUGGAGGGUUUGGAUGACAACUCGUUUUAGGGUUUCGAAUGUUGAUCUUGCUUUUGUUUUUGGAGCUGUUAUAUUCUGGGCUUGUAUUUGGGCUUUCAUUUUCCUUUUUAUUUUGUUUUUUGUUUUCUUUUGUACUAGUUCCUGUUUUUGUGUAUUUAAUCUCAAGCCCUAAUUUUUUUUAAAGUGUAAUUUUUUAACUAAAUCGGUAUCGAUUUAACUUGGGAUACUAAUUUCAAUAAAAUAUUGUAUAUAAAUU
rnacentral:lncRNA from 1 species